rnacentral:rRNA from 1 species
AUUGAACGCUGGCGACAUGCCUUACACAUGCAAGUCGAACGGCAGCACGGGUGCUUGCACCUGGUGGCGAGUGGCGAACGGGUGAGUAAUACAUCGGAACGUACCUUAUCGUGGGGGAUAACGCAGCGAAAGCUGUGCUAAUACCGCAUACGCCCUGAGGGGGAAAGCGGGGGAUCGCAAGACCUCGCGCGAUUAGAGCGGCCGAUGCCUGAUUAGCUUGUUGGUGGGGUAAAAGCGCACCAAGGCGACGAUCAGUAGCUGGUCUGAGAGGACGAUCAGCCACACGGCGACUGAGACACGGCCCAGACUCCUACUGGAGGCAGCAGUGGGGAAUUUUUGACAAUGGGGGCAACCCUGAUCCAGCAAUGCCGCGUGAGUGAAGAAGGCCUUCGGGUUGUAAAGCUCUUUUGUCAGGGAAGAAACACCGGCUCUAACACAGUCCGGGAAUGACGGUACCUGAAGAAUAAGCACCGGCUAACUACGUGCCAGCCGCCACGGUAA